rnacentral:rRNA from 1 species
GAUGGACGCUGGCGGCGUGCCUAAUACAUGCAAGUCGAGCGAACGGACGAGAAGCUUGCUUUUCUGAUGUUAGCGGCGGACGGGUGAGUAACACGUGGAUAACCUACCUAUAAGACUGGGAUAACUUCGGGAAACCGGAGCUAAUACCGGAUAAUAUUUUGAACCGCAUGGUUCAAAAGUGAAAGACGGUCUUGCUGUCAUUUAUAGAUGGAUCCGCGCUGCAUUAGCUAGUUGGUAAGGUAACGGCUUACCAAGGCAACGAUGCAUAGCCGACCUGAGAGGGUGAUCGGCCACACUGGAACUGAGACACGGUCCAGACUCCUACGGGAGGCAGCAGUAGGGAAUCUUCCGCAAUGGGCGAAAGCCUGACGGAGCAACGCCGCGUGAGUGAUGAAGGUCUUCGGAUCGUAAAACUCUGUUAUUAGGGAAGAACAUAUGUGUAAGUAACUGUGCACAUCUUGACGGUACCUAAUCAGAAAGCCACGGCUAACUACGUG